rnacentral:rRNA from 1 species
UACGUAGGGGGCGAGCGUUGUCCGGAAUCAUUGGGCGUAAAGAGCUCGUAGGCGGUUCAGUAAGUCGGGUGUGAAAGCUCCGAGCUCAACUCGGAGAGGCCACUCGAUACUGCUGUGACUAGAAUCCAGUAGGGGAGUGUGGAAUUCCUGGUGUAGCGGUGAAAUGCGCAGAUAUCAGGAGGAACACCGGCGGCGAAGGCGGCACUCUGGGCUGGUAUUGACGCUGAGGAGCGAAAGUGUGGGUAGCAAACAGG